GUGGGGAAUAUUGCACAAUGGGCGAAAGCCUGAUGCAGCAAUGCCGCGUGUGUGAAGAAGGCCUGCGGGUUGUAAAGCACUUUCGAUAGGGAAGAUUAUGACGGUACCUAUAGAAGAAGCACCGGCUAACUCCGUGCCAGCAGCCGCGGUAAUACGGAGGGUGCAAGCGUUAAUCGGAAUUACUGGGCGUAAAGCGCGCGUAGGCGGCUCAGUCAGUCGGAUGUGAAAGCCCCGGGCUCAACCUGGGAAUUGCAUUCGAUACUGCUGAGCUAGAGUAUGGAAGAGGGAAGUGGAAUUCCGGGUGUAGCGGUGAAAUGCGUAGAUAUCCGGAGGAACACCAGUGGCGAAGGCGACUUCCUGGGCCAAUACUGACGCUGAGGUGCGAAAGCGUGGGGAGCAAACAGG
rnacentral:rRNA from 1 species